rnacentral:sRNA from 1 species
AGUUUAUCUCCACGGAUCUCUAUGCAUUUCUGGAAUGCCAAACAACAUCUGCAUUUCCUGCUGCCAAGGUGAUUGGCAGCCCAUCCCAGAGGACGGUGCUGGAACCCCCAAGGCUGGGCACACCCUGGGACGGAGGGAUCUCCAGCACAGCGACGUUCUGAUUUGGAAUUUGUUAUGGACUGUGACGUGCAGGUCAAGCUGCACAUCAGGAGCACAUAGAAUGCUUUGGGGUCCCUUUUUAGCCGGGGAUUCCAGUGAAUGAAAACGGUAGCAGCGGCUCUUUUGAGCUUGGUCAUGGGGCAGCCCUCUGAGGUCAGCAAUGUGCAGAAGGGGUUUGAAGAGAAGGCUUGAGCGUGUGAGGGUGGCACGGCCAGCCUCAUCAGCAGCGGACUCCUUUCCCAGGGCAGGGUGGAGGACAGCAAACAGGAGAAUGAGCAACCUACCUAGGUCCCUGGGAUGCCCCGCAGGAGGACGAGCUCUAGAGGGAAUGCUGUACGUCACCGUGCUCGGUGCCAGUGUUGGGGAUUUUCUAAAGGGAGAUGCCCACUCGGAGGGCAAAGGGUGAUGGCAUGGGGGCUGCAUAUAACCCCGGACAUGGUGCUGACGUGGCCCCCUGUCCCUUCCCCAAGGGGCGGCCUGAGCUGACACCCACAGCGAUCAUGGCCGGGAGGCUCCUGGUGCAGCGGCUCUUCGGCGGGUCCUCAGAUCUGAUGGACUACGACAAUGUUCCCACGACCGUCUUCACCCCGCUGGAGUAUGGCUGUGUGGGGCUGUCCGAGGAGGAGGCAGUGGCUCGCCACGGGCAGGAGCAUGUUGAGGUCUAUCACGCCCAUUAUAAACCACUGGAGUUCACGGUGGCUGGACGGGAUGCAUCCCAGUGUUAUGUAAAGAUGGUGUGCCUGAGGGAGCCCCCGCAGCUGCUGCUGGGCCUGCACUUCCUCGGCCCCAACGCAGGCGAAGUUACUCAAGGAUUUGCUCUGGGGAUCAAGUGUGGGGCCUCCUAUGCGCAGGUGAUGCGGACCGUGGGUAUCCAUCCCACAUGCUCUGAGGAGGUAGUCAAGCUGCGCAUCUCCAAGCGCUCAGGCCUGGACCCCACGGUGACAGGCUGCUGAGGGUAAGCGCCAUCCCUGCAGGCCGGGGCACAUGGUGCGCCUGCCGCCAGCUCCUCGGAGGCCAGACCCAGGUAUGCAGGUGGGGCUGGCUCUGUUUGAGGACAGGGCACGUGGCAGGGGUGCAGGAGCCCUGGCCAUGGGCUCCUUCCAGGUGUACAGCAAGGCUGCACCUGCCAUGCCACCCAGAAUGGGUGCUCCGUCCUGUAACCAGGCCAGAGCAGUGACAGGCAGGAGGGGAAGUCCCCAAGGGCCCAAACCUCCCCGGGGGACCCCAGACCCCGGCCUGGCCACAGCUGCUCCCCACACACAGGAGGUAUCAAGAAACGGGGCUCAUCCUUAGCAGCCUAUCCCAGGUGGAUGUUGGCGUGGAAGGUGUCCCAGGUGGGCUAAAGUCGGGCAUCUCAAGUUGCUGCUCCACAAGGGGCUGCAGUCGGGAAGCUGGCCUCCCACCAAGGCCUGGCUCCUGCAGAGUUCAGCACCCACUCGUUUCCCUGUCUCCCAGAAGGUGGAGACGCUGCCCUGUGAUGGCCGGCCCUGCCCAGCCUGCCCUGCACAUCUGGUUCUGUUCCAGCUCUGCAGAGCCAGGCUGACUGGAGGGUGUGUUGUUCAUCGUGACCUCUUCUGGGGAGGAAGAAACUGGCGAGGGCUCCUGGCCUCUGCCCCAGGGAUGCCUGUGCCAGAGCCCCCUCGCCUCAUGGUCUGAUAGUGCAUCCUCCGGCCCGGGCUGCAGGGCGGGGGCCGGGGCAGGGUGGGCCCUCAGCCCGUGCCAUCCAGCCCACCUGGGGCACCCCCACAGCUGUCAGCCCCUUCCCGGGUUGGGGUGUUUGGGCUCCAUCUCUCCCCUGGGGCUGAGGUGGAGACCAGGCAGAGCAGUGGGCUCCCCGCAAGAUGCCUGUGGACAGGCUCUGGGGUCCGCAUGUUCCGAGGGGCUCUGGGGAGGCCUCUCUGGGGGUACUCAGGGCCCCCAGCUUCACUGUGGCUGCCUCCCCCCCGGCGGGGCCGCUCUUGAUAGGGAUAAACAAAGGGCAUCCUGAGGAAACUCUUAUCAGAACAUUACACCUCCCAGAGCUGUUUUGUUAGGAGCCUGCUAUAAAUUUUUAUCAUUUCAAAAUAUUUUUGUAGCACUGCGUCGCUCCCUGUGACGCAUCGCCCUGAGGUGGGGCCACUCUCUGCUGGGUUUAUUUCUCACCCAUCUCCCUUGGGGGUCCCUGGGUGUGGCAGUGGGAGACAUAGCUAGGCUGAUGUGAGGCGGGGGUGGCUGCCCUGUGCUGACCUUCCUGUUGUUGGCAGGACGGCUGCAGGCCAGGUUUGGGGGGCCUCACCCCUCUCCUGGAGUGCCUGUGAGACGGUCAGCAUGGAGCGCAAGUGCUGGACAGGUGGCCCGUGUGCCCCGCAGGGAUGGCUCAGGGGACUGUCCACCUCACCCCUGCACCUCUCAGCCUCUGCCGCUGGGCACCCCCCCAGGCUCCUUGGUGCCAGAUGAUGACGACCUGGGUGGAAACCUACCCUGUGGGCACCCAUGUCCGAGCCCCCUGGCAUUUCUGCAAUGCAAAUAAAGAGGGUGCUUUUUCUG